UCAACAGAGCGAGGCAAAGCCGCGAGGCAGAGCGAAUCGCUAAAAGCCGUCCCAGUUCGGAUUGCAGGCUGCAACCCGCCUGCAUGAAGUUGGAAUCGCUAGUAAUCGCGGAUCAGCAUGCCGCGGUGAAUACGUUCCCGGGCCUUGUACACACCGCCCGUCACACCAUAAGAGUCGGGAACACCCGAAGUCCGUAGCCUGACCGCAAGGGGGGCGCGGCCGAAGGUGGGUUCGAUAAUUGGGGCGAAGUCGUAACAAGGUAAC
rnacentral:rRNA from 1 species